GUGUUUUUCAUAGUAAUAGAUUUAAGAUUAAUAGUUAGUAUUUGCUUGUGAAAGUCAGUACACUUACGGAUAAAAGCGUUUAUCCGAAAAGAAAAGAGAGGCGACCGGAAACGGAAGCCUCUUUCUUUUU
rfam:Bacteroides vulgatus ATCC 8482, complete genome.